rnacentral:rRNA from 1 species
GUAGGUGACAAGCGUUGUCCGGAAUUAUUGGGCGUAAAGCGCGCGCAGGCGGUUCUUUAAGUCUGAUGUGAAAGCCCACGGCUCAACCGUGGAGGGUCAUUGGAAACUGGAGAACUUGAGUACAGAAGAGGAAAGCGGAAUUCCACGUGUAGCGGUGAAAUGCGUAGAGAUGUGGAGGAACACCAGUGGCGAAGGCGGCUUUCUGGUCUGUAACUGACGCUGAGGCGCGAAAGCGUGUGGAGCAAACAGGAUUAGAUACCCUGGUAGUCCGCGCCGUAAACGAUGAGUGCUAAGUGUUAGGGGGUUUCCGCCCCCCUUAGUGCUGCAGCUAACGCAUUAAGCACUCCGCCUGGGAGUACGGCCGCAAGGCUG